UCACCCAACUUUUAGCAAGCUGGCCACAGGGAAGAUUGGUGUUGAAGUUACUUUCCACUCUCCUUUUUCCUCCUGGCAGUUGGACAGAACUUCCCCAAAUCUGGCAAGUGCAUAGUCUCAUGAUUGGUGGAAGAGAGUCUGGUGCACCAGAAAGAGCACUUGGAACCAGAAGAUCUGGGUUUGGGGUGGUAGCUGGUAGGCAACUGGCUGAAUGACCUAAGGCUGCUGCUUACAGAUUUUACUGCUCAUCUCACGUCCCCAAAGAGUAGUGAGUGUUCCAGGCACAGCAGAGAUAGUGACACUCUCUUCGGGUCCAUCAGAUAAGAUGACAACAUGCUGCCCUGGCUUACCAUCUUGUCACGGAUCUGCAGGGCACCUGCCGCCAAACAAGCUGCCUGUCGAAUUGCUAUGAACUCAUCGGAGAAGCAGCUCAGGAAGCUUGGGAGGAGCUUGGCUGUCAUGAGCUUGAACACACGGAUCAGGGAGAGGGCCUCAAUCCGCUCCUGGGAAUUUCCUUGACUCAGCUUAGUCCUGUAAGACACAAGUGGCUUUUAUUUCCCUUGAACGUUUCUGUGCCUUGUUCCCUUCCACCAUGCCCCUCAGGGUGGAAUUCUAACUUUGUGGGCCUAGUUAUGUAGACAUACCUUUUCUAGUCGGGGUAUAAUCAUUAAAGUUUCACCGGGUUGGGACCUCGGGUGUCUUACUUUCUUGAACUCCUAUUACCUAGCGUAUGGUAGACAUUCAGGUGUCUUGAACAACCAAAUAAAGUUUGCACCUCUCACAAA